GCAGCCGGCCGGACGACCGCCGCGCGCACGCGCCCCGGCGCGGGCGCGGGGAGGAAAGUCCGAACUCCAGAGGGCAGUGCGCCGGGUAACGCCCGGUCAGGGUGACCUGAAGGAAAGUGGCACAGAAAACAUACCGCCGGCCGCGCCCGCAAGGGCGGGGCAGGUAAGGGUGAAAAGGUGCGGUAAGAGCGCACCGCGCCUGCUGCAAGGCGGGUGGCAGGCUAAACCCCGCACGGAGCAAGACCAAAUAGGGGAGCGCUUGAGGGUGGUCCGCCCGAAGCUUCCGGGUAGGUCGCUUGAUCCCGCCGGAGACGGCGGGGCUAGAGGAAUGGUCGUCACCGGCGCGUUCGCGGGCAACCGCGGCGCGCCGGUACAGAAUUCGGCUUAUGGCCGCGCUGCGGCG
rnacentral:RNase_P_RNA from 1 species